UGGAGUGGGGAGUGGCACCUAGCAACAGCAUCUGUCACUCCACUNAUCACCAGGGUUGAUUAGGCUGAUAAAGUUGGCUAGGAAGGGACACCUUCCUCCGUCACCAUUGAAUGCAUGUCCCUCCUAAAGCUUCAUGCUAGGUCGGAAAGAUAAGAGAACCUUUCUUAGCCAAUGGUCUGAGUAGCUGUGCUCCCCUAAUAGAAUCUCCAAACAGGCUCUUAACCUCAGCGCUGGUGACACUUUGGGUCAGAUAAUCCNUUGCUG
rnacentral:snRNA from 1 species